rnacentral:rRNA from 1 species
UGGGGAAUUUUGGACAAUGGGCGAAAGCCUGAUCCAGCAAUGCCGCGUGUGUGAAGAAGGCCUUCGGGUUGUAAAGCACUUUUGUCCGGAAAGAAAUCCUUGGCUCUAAUACAGUCGGGGGAUGACGGUACCGGAAGAAUAAGCACCGGCUAACUACGUGCCAGCAGCCGCGGUAAUACGUAGGGUGCAAGCGUUAAUCGGAAUUACUGGGCGUAAAGCGUGCGCAGGCGGUUUGCUAAGACCGAUGUGAAAUCCCGGGCUCAACCUGGGAACUGCAUUGGUGACUGGCAGGCUAGAGUAUGGCAGGAGGGGGGUAGAAUUCCACGUGUAGCAGUGAAAUGCGUAGAGAUGUGGAGGAAUACCGAUGGCGAAGGCAGCCCCCUGGGCCAAUACUGACGCUCAUGCACGAAAGCGUGGGGAGCAAACAGGAUUAGAUACCCUGGUAGUCCACGCCCUAAACGAUGUCAACUAGUUGUUGGGGAUUCAUUUCCUUAGUAACGUAGCUAACGCGUGAAGUUGACCGCCUGGGGAGUACGGUCGCAAGAUUAAAACUCAAAUGAAUUGAC